AACGCUAGCUACAGGCUUAACACAUGCAAGUCGAGGGGCAGCAUGGUCUUAGCUUGCUAAGGCCGAUGGCGACCGGCGCACGGGUGAGUAACACGUAUCCAACCUGCCGUCUACUCUUGGACAGCCUUCUGAAAGGAAGAUUAAUACAAGAUGUUAUCAUGAGUAAGCAUUUUCGCAUGAUUAAAGGUUUACCGGUGUAAAAUGGGGAUGCGUUCCAUUAGAUAGUAGGCGGGGUAACGGCCCACCUAGUCUUCGAUGGAUAGGGGUUCUGAGAGGAAGGUCCCCCACAUUGGAACUGAGACACGGUCCAAACUCCUACGGGAGGCAGCAGUGAGGAAUAUUGGUCAAUGGACGAGAGUCUGAACCAGCCAAGUAGCGUGAAGGAUGACUGCCCUAUGGGUUGUAAACUUCUUUUAUAAAGGAAUAAAGUCGGGUAUGGAUACCCGUUUGCAUGUACUUUAUGAAUAAGGAUCGGCUAACUCCGUGCCAGCAGCCGCGGUAAUACGGAGGAUCCGAGCGUUAUCCGGAUUUAUUGGGUUUAAAGGGAGCGUAGAUGGAUGUUUAAGUCAGUUGUGAAAGUUUGCGGCUCAACCGUAAAAUUGCAGUUGAUACUGGAUAUCUUGAGUGCAGUUGAGGCAGGCGGAAUUCGUGGUGUAGCGGUGAAAUGCUUAGAUAUCACGAAGAACUCCGAUUG
rnacentral:rRNA from 1 species